AACUCAGCACAUUCCUUCCCGUCUGUGCCGGACCAUCACAAUGACUGACCGUGUGUAUACACUAGCUGGAGUCUCCUACCUGCAACAGCUAGUGCCCCCUCAAGCCACUGUCACUCCACAUACCGGGCAUCCUUUGGCUUAGAUGGUGGCAUGGUUUUGAGGCUGAUAUAUGUGUCACCCCUCCUCCACUCCCUAGAGGUGGGGUGUAGACAAUUAAGGUACCAAAUAUCUUUAGGAUAUGUACUGACUAAAGGUAGAAUGUUGAUUUUGUUUCUUUGGGCUGGCUAGCAAGCAGUGCAGUAUAAAUGGCUCAUAGUUCAUGCAUUAGGGAGUGGAGAUCAAGACAGAGAUGAAUCCUCUCUACCAGAAUUCUGCUUCCAUGACUAGCAGCUGUCUUGAUGAUUUUCACUUCCCAAAGGUUCCUUUAUUUAACAACAAGGUUGAAUGAUGCCUGAGAUCAGGGCUGGCCUGAGAUAGCUGUACAUCAUGGCCAACUAAUUAUUUAAUGUUUUUUCAAAAUCCAAAUUUCAGAUAAAAUCUGUGUAUCUUUUUCUGCAAAUUCAUGAGAUGAACUUGAGGGUAGUUUAAUAUUUCUACUGUGAUGGGAGAUUUUCCCUCUGACAGUCCUCCCUCCCCGACUUGGUUGUGAUGGGAUGGGGCCUGUUAUGAACGCUUGGAAAAAUCUUGACCCAGAGAACUUGAACUGAGACACACAUAGUUCUAUUUUACCAGUUCAGCUUCGAAGAAGGAUGUCAUCAGGAAGCUGCCCUUCAGAAGACUGGCACGUCUCACCCACGGCCCUCAGUUGGUAAAAAUCUUCCCAGGGCCUUCUGCCUUGUUCUAAUGGCUGUAGUUUCUAAGUGUGAUCACAGUCCCUUUGGAACCCCACCCAGAUGCCUUCUAAGUCCUUUGGAGGAAGAGAAGAGAACAUCUGGCUGUCUUCUAUGCAUAGAAGUAGGCUACAAAGGGUAAAUGAAAGGACGUUUUCUCCACCUACUCAGUCCAGGCAACCCAGUUUACUUCCAGAGAAAAGAAAAAAAAGGAAUGAAGACAUCAUCACUCUGUUGAUUUGCGCACAUGUAACCACGAUGCCUUGAGUCUGGGUUGCAUGG